rnacentral:misc_RNA from 1 species
GUGAAUCAUCAAAUUUUUGAACGCAAAUUGCGCUUCCUGGCAUCCCGGGAAGUAUGCCUGUUUGAGGGUCAGUAUUAACAAAAAAUCGGUUUGGUUGCAAAUUGUGACGUUUCCGGAGUUUGGGCUAUCUUAACUUUUUUGGUUAAGGGGCUUAAAAUUGACCUUAUUUGCGCAUUUUUAGACGUACAUAAAUUUAUUUUUAUCGUCUAUUCUGUUGGCAAAUUACUUAUUAGGUGCGAUCAUAUAAUGAUCUCGUGCCCAUAAUUUCUCAUCUUUUGACCUCAAAUCAGUUAAGGACAC